rnacentral:misc_RNA from 1 species
GCACCAGAUCGGACAGUUUUCAGUAGAGCUUCUGAUCUUCUGGAAACAAAUUCAUCAUAUGGUAAUCCAUCUGGUGGGGAAAAUUGGGCAUGAGUGAGAACAACCAAAGCCCUAUUCCAUAUCGCUUUACCGAAGCUGUCUGUUAUGGCCUUAAUAACCUGUUUUUCCAAGUUAUCUACUCUAUAUGCAUCCAAGCGGUCCACAUAGAGAAGAAUAUCUAUAGUCUUAUUCAAAAGAAAGCGUUUUAUAAUCUCAAGUGCCUGGUCAUUGAUGUAACCUCCUUCUAUGAUGCCAGGUGUAUCAAUGAUGUUUAAUGUAAAUCCAGCCCUUGAGCGAGAAACCAUCACAGGCCUUGGCACUUCUGACUGAAAAGGACUAACAGAUACAGCUCUUUCACCAAUAAUGGAAUUCACAGUGGAUGACUUUCCAACACCACCCUUUCCCAUUACAAGUAUUGUCAAUGUGUUGAGAUUCUCCUGCUUCAGUUUUCCCAGCAACUCAAGUAAUUUUUCUUGAGUAGCCAUUGCAAAGUUGUUAAUCCCAAUCCACUCACGGACAACCUGAGAUGCCAUGAAGUUGUGUGUGCCUCGGUGCGGUUUUCGUGCGUGCCCGUGCGGUUGCAGCAGAGAGGGAGUGAAGAAAGGAAAAGUUACGGCGACGGAGGCGUGCCGGCGGACAACUGCGACGGAGAGGGUUUGCCGGCCUGGGUUGUAGCGGAGGAACCAAAAAUCUUGAUG